ACAAACUCUCAAAUCGACAUUGACAUUUACACCAACUCUGUUCUGGACCACAUCAACAGAUGUGUGAGCAGAGUGACCACACACACACACAAAAAAAAUAUUUUCCCCAAUCAGAAGCCCUGGAUGAACAGUGAGGUUCGCCUCACUGCAGGUUCGACUGCUCAAAGCAAAAGAUGUUGUCUUCAGGUCUGGAGACCGGGAGGCUUACAGCUCAGCCAGAGCCAACCUGAGGAAGGGUAUCUGCCAGGCCAAACUCAAACAGAGGAUUGAAGAACAAUUCUUCAGACCCCCAGCAUAUGUGGCAAGGCAUACAAUCUAUCACAGAUUACAAACCACCUAACACUGUGCCCCCUCCAGCCCUGCCUCCCUCCCUGAUGUUCUCUAUCACUUUUAUGCUCAUUUUGAUCAAAAUAAUAAGGAUAUCUCACUCAAAGCUGAGCAUCAACCCAGUGAACUGCCUCUCACACUCUCCACAUCAGAUGUUUACUCCACUCUGUGUAAGAUGAAUGCACGGAAAGCAGCUGGCCCUGACGGAAUACCGGGUAGUGUGCUUAAAGCCUGUGCGGAGCAGCUGGCUGAGAUCUUCACGGACAUUUUCAAUCUGUCCCUGCCCGAACAACUGUCCCCACUAGCUUCAAAACCUCCACCAUCGUGCCAGUACUCCACUGCCUCGGUCCCUAACGACUUCCGUCCUGUUGCACUCACCCCCAUCAUUGCCAAGUGCUUUUAGAAACUGUUUGCAUCCCACUUAAAAUCCUGUCUCCCUGCUACAUUAGACCCAUUCCAAUUUGACUGUUGCCACAAUAGGUCAACAGAGGACGCCAUGUCAAUGACACUUCACUCUGCCCUCACCCACUUGGACAGUCAGAGCACACAUGUGAGAUUGCUGUUCAUUGAUUUCAGUUCUGCAUUUAAUACGGUAAUCCCCUCCAAAUUGAUCCUCAAACUCAGCCAGCUUGGAAUCAGCACACCCAUCUGCAAUUGGAUUCUAGAUUUUCUGACUAACAGACCUCAAUCUGUUAAGUUAGAUAACCUCUCAUCCUCCAUCAUCACCCUCAGGGCUGCGUAAUGAGCCCUCUCCUGUAAUCCCUAUUCACCUAUGACUGCGUUCCUGUUUAUGGCUCCAACACCAUAAUCAAAUUUGCAGAUGACACAACGGUGUCAUGGUCUGAUCAAGGAUGAAGAUGAGUCAGCCUACAGGGAUGAGGUGCAGCACCUGGCUGUGUGGUAUGCCACCUGCAAUCUGGAACUAAACACCCAGAAGACAAAGGAGAUCAUUGUGGACUUCAGGCGGACUAGGAAUCAUGCACACACCCCCAUCUACAUCAACGGAGCUGUAAUGGUGUGUGUGUCGAGUUUCAAGUUCCUUAGCAUCCACAUCUCUGAUGGCCUCACCUGGUCCCCAACACCUUCACCCUGGUCAAAAAGGCACAGCAGUGACUUUACUUCUUAGGGAGCGUUAAUAAAGUUAACCUGCAUCCCAGGAUCUUUGUGGAAUUCUACGGCUGUACCAUUGAGAGCAUUCUCACAAACUGCAUCUCAGUAUGAUACAGCAAUUGCUUCGCAUCUGACUGCAAAGCACUCCAGCAGGUGGUGAAAACUGCUCAACGGAUCAUCGGCACCCAGUUAACUUCCUUUGAGAACAUUUAUCACAAGCGCUGUCUGGGUAGGGCAAGAAACAUCAUCAAGAUGCCUCUCAUCCUAACCAUGGACUCUUCACCCUCCUUCCAUCCGGCAGGUGUUACAGAAGCCUACGCUCUCGCACUAGUAAGCUCAGGAAGAGCUUCUUCCCCGAGGCUGUGACACCUCUGAACGCCACACCACCAAUCUAACCUGCACUGGACACAGUACUUUACAUACAUGUUGUUCUGUGCAGUAUUAGUUUUUUCUUUAGUUUCAUUUUGGAUUGUAUAAGUAGUUCAUGUGUGACACCUUGUGGUGAAAAUCGUUAUUACAAUACUCAGUAGAACGCAACAGGAAGCACGUAAAACAAUAGAAGAAGAGUCGUUUUCUGUUAUCUGCGUAUGCUGUCUAAUCCUUGGAGUAGAUACGACCUUUUACAGUAAAGUAAAGUGUGCAUCACAAAAGCACAACGAAGAACGUGUGAUGAAGCUUUAUUCCUGUUAGCUUCUGUCAGUCUUUGGUUCAGAACACCAUUGCCAGGGCAGAAUACAUGUAUUUGCGCUACUCAUAUUUUGCACAGACUGCACACUGUUCUUGCUAUUACUGUAAACUGUCUAAAGUUGUUACUGUACAAAGCACAGUAAACUAUUUCUAUAAAAAAUAUCAUUGCACUACUGUUAUUUUGCAUAGACCACAUUGUUUAACGAUACUAUUGCACACUCAUCCAACUGUAUUUAUUACCACUGUUCUCACGUUGCUGCUGCUCAUAAUGUGUAUAUAUAAUCCUACAUUGCUCUGUUCAUAAUGUACAUACAAUACCUACAUUGCAUUCCUAUUUAUAUUCUGUAUAUACUCUGAUCAAUAUUGUAUAUAGCAACUACACUGUACAUUCUGUAUGUCAUAGCUUCACUUACUCUGCACUUUAUCUAUUUAAAAUGGUAUAUGCUUCUGGUUAGAUGGUAACUGCAUUUAAUUAGAUCUGUACUUGUACUCUGCAUAAUGACAAUAAAGUUGAAUCUAAUCUAA